UACACCGGUGUUUUACUGAUAAGGCAAGUCGGUAGGAUAUAGGCUGUAAUGGACUACCAGGGGUAUUAGAGGAAUAAUAUAUGCCAACGCUAACCCACCUGACAACGCAAACACAGCAGGAUCAAACUCAGCCUCGACAGGGACAUCCAAUAGUCAUUCGGGAUAUUACGGAUAUAAUAUUGUCUUCUUCAACUGCAGUAUCAAAAAAAGGGCGAAAAAUGUAUCAGUUCAGAUGGGUUCACCAUGAUAUCACCCAUUGCAUCGCGACGGAGUAAACUACACAUGAACAACCCGGUCCGAGGUCGUGACUCAGAGUUCCAGUCUGAGAGACAGGUGAAGAGGUGUAGAUGAGAAGUAAUCCAUCAGGACAACGUCAGAGGACAGAGCAGCUCCUUCAGAAGGUGGAGAGGUCAGACGCAGCUCCAGUGGCAUCGACUAGUGCCUCACACACAUCACCCUUGGUGUUGUGUCAUGGUGAUGCUGCAGACAGAGGAGAGCAGAAAAGAAGGGCCCCAGGGCAAGGUUUGAGUAUGUGUUGUUAGGGAGGGGUUUCAUACUGUACCGACCGACAACGGUAUUAUGUGGCAACCAGUGGUGUAAAGUACUUUAGUAAAAAACUUGAAAGUACUACUUAAGUAGGUUUUUGGGGUAUCUGUACUUUACUUUACUAUUUAUAUAUUUGA